rnacentral:rRNA from 1 species
AAACUGGAGAGUUUGAUCCUGGCUCAGAACGAACGCUGGCGGCGUGCCUAACACAUGCAAGUCGAGCGAGAAAGUUCCCUUCGGGGAGCGAGUAAAGCGGCGAACGGGUGAGUAACACGUGAGCAAUCUGCCCUCAGGACCGGGAUAACAUCUCGAAAGGGGUGCUAAUACCGGAUAGGACCACAGGGUCGCAUGGCCCAGAGGUGAAACGGUGGCCUCUUCUUGAAAGCUGUUGCCUGAGGAUGAGCUCGCGCACCAUUAGCUUGUUGGCGGGGUAAUGGCCCACCAAGGCGACGAUGGUUAGCCGACCUGAGAGGGUGAUCGGCCACACUGGAACUGAGACACGGUCCAGACUCCUACGGGAGGCAGCAGUGGGGAAUCUUGCGCAAUGGGGGAAACCCUGACGCAGCAACGCCGCGUGAGCGAUGAAGGCCUUUGGGUUGUAAAGCUCUGUCAGGAGGGACGAAAAGGUCCGGUUGAAUAGGCCGGACU